AGUGAACGCUGGCGGUAGGCCUAACACAUGCAAGUCGAACGGCAGCACAGUAAGAGCUUGCUCUUACGGGUGGCGAGUGGCGGACGGGUGAGGAAUACAUCGGAAUCUACUUUUUCGUGGGGGAUAACGUAGGGAAACUUACGCUAAUACCGCAUACGACCUACGGGUGAAAGCAGGGGAUCUUCGGACCUUGCGCGAUUGAAUGAGCCGAUGUCGGAUUAGCUAGUUGGCGGGGUAAAGGCCCACCAAGGCGACGAUCCGUAGCUGGUCUGAGAGGAUGAUCAGCCACACUGGAACUGCAACACGGUCCAGACUCCUACGGGAGGCAGCAGUGGGGAAUAUUGGACAAUGGGCGCAAGCCUGAUCCAGCCAUACCGCGUGGGUGAAGAAGGCCUUCGGGUUGUAAAGCCCUUUUGUUGGGAAAGAAAAGCAGCAGGUUAAUACCCCGCUGUUCUGACGGUACCCAAAGAAUAAGCACCGGCUAACUUCGUG
rnacentral:rRNA from 1 species